CCUACGGGAGGCAGCAGUAGGGAAUAUUGCUCAAUGGGGGAAACCCUGAAGCAGCAACGCCGCGUGGAGGAUGAAGGUUUUCGGAUUGUAAACUCCUUUUGUUAGAGAAGAGAAUGACGGUAUCUAACGAAUAAGCACCGGCUAACUCCGUGCCAGCAGCCGCGGUAAUACGGAGGGUGCAAGCGUUCCUCGGAAUCACUGGGCGUAAAGAGCGCGGAGGCGGGAUAGCAAGUCAGAUGUGAAAUCCUAGGGCUUAACCAUAGAACUGCAUUUGAAACUGUUAUUCUAGAGUAUGGGAGAGGUAGGUGGCAUUCUUGGUGUAGGGGUCAAAUCCGUAGAGAUCCCGCGGACUCCUCAUUGCGCCGGCGUCCUGCUAGACCAUACCUGCCGCUGAUGCGCG
rnacentral:rRNA from 1 species